UACGUAGGGUGCGAGCGUUGUCCGGAAUUACUGGGCGUAAAGAGCUCGUAGGUGGUUUGUCGCGUUGUCCGUGAAAACUCACAACUCAAUUGUGGGCGUGCGGGCGAUACGGGCAGACUUGAGUACUGCAGGGGAGACUGGAAUUCCUGGUGUAGCGGUGAAAUGCGCAGAUAUCAGGAGGAACACCGGUGGCGAAGGCGGGUCUCUGGGCAGUAACUGACGCUGAGGAGCGAAAGCGUGGGUAGCAAACAGG
rnacentral:rRNA from 1 species